rnacentral:miRNA from 1 species
UGACUAGAUCCUGUUGUAUUAU